GGAAGGGCAUUGUAAACUGGGUGACUGGAGUGCGGGAGAGGGUAGUGGAAUUCCCGGUGUAGCAGUGAAAUGCGUAGAUAUCGGGAGGAACAGCCGUGGCGAAGGCGACUACCUGGACCAGCACUGACACUGAGGCACGAAAGCGUGGGGAGCAAACAG
rnacentral:rRNA from 1 species